GUAGGUGGCAAGCGUUGUCCGGAAUUAUUGGGCGUAAAGCGCGCGCAGGCGGUUCUUUAAGUCUGAUGUGAAAGCCCACGGGCUCAACCGUGGAGGGUCAUUGGAAACUGGAGAACUUGAGUACAGAAGAGGAAAGCGGAAUUCCACGUGUAGCGGUGAAAUGCGUAGAGAUGUGGAGGAACACCAGUGGCGAAGGCGGCUUUCUGGUCUGUAACUGACGCUGAGGCGCGAAAGCGUGGGGAGCAAACAGGAUUAGAUACCCUGGUAGUCCACGCCGUAAACGAUGAGUGCUAAGUGUUAGGGGGUUUCCGCCCCUUAGUGCUGCAGCUAACGCAUUAGGCACUCCGCCUGGGGAGUACGGCCGCAAGGCUG
rnacentral:rRNA from 1 species